UUCAAGGUUCCUCACUCACUCCAAUCCCGCUUUCAUUAUCGAGAUGGAGGGGCUGUUGAUGUCCAGGGAGUUGCUGGUGAAGGGAUUUUUGGUGAAUAUUAUUGAAGCUGCGUAUGUGCCAGCAAUCAACGGGGCACUGCAAGAAGGGAUUCCUCUGCCUCACCUGCUAGGCAUUAAAUAUACAAAUGCUGAUAUUAGCAUGUCUGAGAAUGCUCUUGUGCUGAAUGUAAAAGCCACGUCGAGCUGAUCCAGGAGGCGUCACUGCACUAUUCACCACCACUGAAAGAGUCAGCGAGAUGGAGAACAGCAAGUCUGGUGUCCCCGAAAGCAUGUCUUCCUCUUUUAUUUGUAACAUUUUGAUUCAAUAUUUUGGCUUUAAAGAACUAACAUAAAAAGGCAACACCACUCCCGGUAACUGGCGUAUGCUGGGCUCUGCCUGUAGCGGAAUCAAAGGGCUCUCCUUUGCUUGAAUAGAAUUAAUCUCUGUCAUUUUCUCAGUGACGUUUUGUUACAGCUUGUAGCCUUCACAGGAGUUUAGAACAGCAGUGCACUGUGGGCAGUGGAGUUUCACAUUUCAUGUGCU